GCGGGGUAGGUGUGUGACAGGCAAAUCCGUCACAUAAGCCGAAGACGUGAUGUGGAGCGAAAUUAAGUAGUGAAGUAUGUGAGCCAUGUGCCGAGAAAAGCCGCUAUUGUUUUAUAUGUGCCCGUACCGUAAACCGACACAGGUGGAUGAGGAGAGAAUCCUAAGGCCGACGGAAGAAGCAUUGUUAAGGAAUUCGGCAAAAUGACCCCGUAACUUCGGGAGAAGGGGUGCCCACUGAAUGGUGGGCCGCAGAGAAUAGGCUCAAGCAACUGUUUAGCAAAAACACAGGUCUAUGCGAAACCGAAAGGUGAAGUAUAUGGGCUGACGCCUGCCCGGUGCUGGAAGGUUAAGAGGAGAGGUUAGCGCAAGCGAAGCUUUGAAUUUAAGCCCCAGUAAACGGCGGCCGUAACGAUAACGGUCCUAAGGUAGCGAAAUUCCUUGUCGGGUAAGUUCCGACCCGCACGAAAGGCGUAAUGAUUUGUGCACUGUCUCGACAAUGCAUCCGGUGAAAUUGAAGUACCAGUGAAGAUGCUGGUUACCCGCGCCAGGACGGAAAGACCCCAUGGAGCUUUACUCCAGUUUGAUACUGGGAUUCGGUACUGCACGUACAGGAUAGGUGGGAGACUGAGAACUAUGGACGCCAGUCUGUAGGGAGUCGCUGUUGGGAUACCACCCCUGUAGUACUGGGUUUCUAACCAUCUGCCGUGAUCCGGCAGUGGGACAAUGUCAGGCGGGGAGUUUGACUGGGGCGGUCGCCUCCGAAAGGGUAUCGGAGGCGCUCAAAGGUUCCCUCAGAAUGGUCGGAAACCAUUUGAAGAGUGCAAAGGCAGAAGGGAGCUUGACUGCGACACCGACGGGUGGAGCAGGUACGAAAGUAGGACUUAGUGAUCCGGUGGUAUAAAGUGGGAUUGCCAUCGCUCAACGGAUAAAAGCUACCCUGGGAUAACAGGCUUAUCACUCCCAAGUGUUCACAUCGACGGAGUGGUUUGGCACCUCGAUGUCGGCUCAUCGCAUCCUGGGGCUGUAGCAGGUCCCAAGGGUUGGGCUGUUCGCCCAUUAAAGCGGUACGCGAGCUGGGUUCAGAACGUCGUGAGACAGUUCGGUCCCUAUCCGGCGCGGGCGGAGGAUAUUUGAGAGGAGCUGUCCUUAGUACGAGAGGACCGGGAUGGACGGACCACUGGUGUAUCUGUUGUCGACCAACGGCAUGGCAGAGUAGCCAAGUCUGGAAGGGAUAAACGCUGAAGGCAUCUAAGCGUGAAGCCCCCCUCAAGAUGAGAUAUCCCUCCUUCGGGAGUAAGACCCCUUGAAGACUACAAGGUAGAUAGGGCAGAGGUGGAAGUGUGGCAACACAUGGAGCUGACUGUUACUAAUAGGUCGAGGGCUUGAUC
rnacentral:rRNA from 1 species